rnacentral:lncRNA from 1 species
CUUUAUUGAAAACUGAGGAUCUCUGCUGUAACGUGACACUUCCUACGGCUCCCAUAGGCUCUCAGAAGGCGGCAGAACGGGGAAUGAUGACUCUGCAGCCCAUUGCUGAAAAACAGUAGCGCAUUUGGAUAGUGGUCAAUCUGAGAACAAUGAGACUGGGGGCGCGUGCACGAGUAGACUCCAUGUUUUUAUUUUUUCGUCUUUGAACGAAAACAGGGUUUCCCGGUCGGAAUAUUAUCGCUUUUUUUACGAGAAAAAUCGCAUAAAAAUUUAUUUUAAACAGCUUUUGACAUGCUUCGAAGUACGGUAAUGGAAUAUUUUGAAUUUUUUUGUCACGAAACGCGUCGGGCGCAUCACCCUUCGUCACCCUUCGGAUAGUGUCUUGAACGCACAACAAAACGCCGCUAUUUGGAUAUAACUAUGGAUUAUUUGGAACCAAACCAACAUUUGUUAUUGAAGUAGAAGUCCUGGGAGUGCAUUCUGACGAAGAACAGCAGAGGUUGCCAUGGGGUGUUGGUGGUGCUGGCUACUGGUAACCUUGCUAUGGGUUUCCACGAUAACAAACCCAUGCCUUGGCCAGAGUGGUGACAGUAGCGACUGGGGCUCGGGCUUCGAUGUCUCCAUGACGACCCUCAGCAGCAACAAGAACACGUCCUCCUCCCAGGAGCCAGGAGAUUACCCUGCGGGUUCAGAAACAGAGACAAGAGAAUCCUGGGUAAAAAUACUUCCACCUAAGCCAGUGUUCCACUACAAGCCGGAGCCAGAUGAGUGCUCUGUCCACUUCAGCACCAGUCAGGCUUCCGCCAGGCGCCUCAAGGCCCAGAGAGAAGAGUUGGCCUACCUGAAGGCUAUACAGCAUGGGAACCAGGCGGUGGUGGAGAACCUAGUCCAGUACAUAGGAGCAGAGCUGGGGGAUGAGCAGCGCUACGAGGACGUCAUCGAGGAAAACAUAGUGGGCAUCAGGGAGGAGCAGCAGAGCUGUAACGGUGUGGUCCAGAAGGUGAUGGAGGAUCUGGAGGGACAGCUGGAAGGAGAUGUACUGGAGGCUCUGACUGGGAUACGGAAACAUUCACAACCCUACUGUGUCCUCAUCAGAACCAAGAUGUGGCCUGGAAUCAAAGAGGAGUCCCUAACGUUUGAGGGCCUCUUCCAGGCAGCAGCAGACAUCGCCAAGGGGCUGGAUACCUUGUCUCAGACCCUCCACGCCUCCUUCACCAAACAGCUCAAAGACUCUCUCAAAACUUUACAUCGCUAAAGAGACUUACUAUCCUCCAUCGCUAAGGAGAUUGUCUGGUCUCAGAUCUGUUUGUGCGGUCUCUCCAGUUCCUAUGGUCCUUGCUAUCACUCUUUUGUAGCCUGGUCUCAGAUCUGUUUGUGCUGUCUCUCCAGUUCCUAUGGUCUUUGCUGUGACUAUUUUGUAGCCUGGUCUCAGAUCUGUUUGUGCAAGAGAGCACAAACAGCUAUUGGACCAGGCAACUAAGGCCUAGAUUAAAUUAGAUCAAGUGUAAAGCGGCAAUAGCCGACACCCACAUAGCUGAUGUUUUGGCGGUGUCGGAGGUGUAACUACUCAUAAAUCGGUGAGCAGCAGCUCAUGUGAUCAUUGUCAUGAAGUUCAGAACAAUAAAGUAUAGGCUAUAUAGAAAUAAUUACACUGAAACUAAAAAAAUCAUUCAAUUAUGUCAUGAAGAUUUAUAUUAGACUAACCGAGGUGUAGAUUAGAUCUCAAACUCCAAUGUUCGAAAUUUCCCUUAAUGUGACUCUGUGCAGCCAAUUGCAAUGUCCACUUUAGGUAUAAAUCUGGGAGCCGCUUGUGGAUUUGACAGUUCUAAUGCAUUCCACCUCUGCCGCCGCCAAAACAACCGCUAUGAGGAUGUCUGCUAGCGCAGAUCUGAUAGAAUCUAUCCCUAAGAAGAACUCUCUCCUCUUCUUCUCUCCAUCCUACUCUACUUCCCUCCCUCCUACUCUUCUUCUGCCCCUCCUACUAUUCUUCUCUCCCUCCUACUUCCCUCCUACUCUUCUUCAAUCCCUCCUACUCUUCUUCACUCCCUCCUACUCUUCUUCUCCCCCUCCUACUCCUCUUCUCUCCCUCCUACUCUUCAUUCCUCUUACACUUCUUCUCUCCCUCCUACUUUUCUUCCCUCCCUUCUACUCUUCUUCUCCCCCUCCUACUCUUCUUCUCUCCCUCCUACUUCCCUCCUACUCUUCUUCUCUCCCUACUACUCUUCUUCUCGCCCUCCUACCCUUCUUCCCCCUCCUACUUCCCUCCUACUCUUCUUCUCUCCCUACUACUCAUCUUCUCACCCUCCUACUCUUCUUCCCUCCUACACUUCUUCCCUCCCUCCUACUCUUCUUCCCUUCUACUCUUCUUCUCUCCCUCCUACUCUUCUUCGCUCCCUUCUACUCUUCUUCUCCCCUCCUACUCUUCUCUCCCUCCUACUUCCCUCCUAAUCUUCUUCUCUCCCUCCUACUUUUCUUCCCCCCUCCUACUUCUCUCCUACUCAUCUUCCCUCCCUCCUACUCUUCUUCCCUCCCUCCUACUCUUCUUCUCUCCCUCCUACUCUUCUUCCCUCCCUCCUACUCUUCUUCUCUCCCUCCUACUCUUCUUCUCUCCCUCCUUCUCUUCUUCUCUCCCUACUACUCUUCUUCCCUCCCUCCUACUCUUCUUCUCUCCCUCCUACUCUUCUUCCCUCCCUCCAACUAUUCUUCCCUCCCUCCUUCGCUUCUCCUUCCCUCCUUCAGGCUACUACAACCUUCAACAUCUGUGUCUCUUGUCAAAACCUAAAUCUCUCUGGUCUGAACCUAGAGAUGUGUAGUGCUCUACUAAACAGAUGCUCUGACAGGAAUGUUCUUUCUGCUCAGUGUACUUUAAGUGAACCGUGAGAGGGCUGACAGAGCUAUGGAAUAAUUGGUAGAGGAUUUAUGCUGAGAUUUUGGACCACAGAUUUGUAAUGAACAGUCACUGUACUGUACUGUACCGUAGCUGUUUAAUACAGUAGCACUCACGUGUGACCAAAUGCUAUCAUAGACAAAACGCCAAGUCAGUACUUUUUCUGUUUACAAUUAUUCCAAAAAACAUUAAGUUGUUCAUACUGAGCAGUUCAGCAUAUAAUUAUAUCAUAGUAUGUAAUGUAUUUCAAACCAGAUUUUCCAUCCAGUAAAUUGCUAUUAUUACUGGAAUUUUAUGCCAGUUGGAAGUUUUGAAACAAAAUAUAUUUGUUUACGUCCCAAACUGCACUUUAUUCCCUGCAUGGUGCACUACUGUUGACCAAAGCCCUAUGGGCCCUGUUCAGAAGGGCACUAUAUCAGGAAAAGGGUGGGAUUUGUGACACAAACUCUAUUUCAGUCAUAGUAGUACGGGCAGCUCUGGUUAGCCUUAGUAUUAUGGUACAUCUGUAUUGGUCUCUCUAGGUACCAGGGUAGUAUGGUCUGUCUGUAUUGGUCUCUCUAGGUACCAGGGUAGUAUGGUCUGUCUGUAUUGGUCUCUCUAGGUACCAGGGUAGUAUGGUCUGUCUGUAUUGGUCUGUCUAGGUACCAGGGUAGUAUGGUCUGUCUGUAUUGGUCUGUCUAGGUACCAGGGUAGUAUGGUCUGUCUGUAUUGGUCUCUCUAGGUACCAGGGUAGUAUGGUCUGUCUGUAUUGGUCUGUCUAGGUACCAGGGUAGUAUGGUCUGUCUGUAUUGGUCUCUCUAGGUACCAGGGUAGUAUGGUCUGUCUGUAUUGGUCUGUCUAGGUACCAGGGUAAGGGUGGAGACCAGGAUAAGUUCAGGGCAGACGCUUGAAGGGAGGUUCUCCUCUCUUGUUCUAUGAAAGCAGAAGCCUGGAAUACACCCUGAUCUGUUGUUUUAUCAGUGAAAAUACACAAGUGUAAUUAGAGUGAUAUUCAGCUCAAAUAUCAGCUCAAAUUCCAGGUUUGAAAACCAAAGUGUUCAUUUGCAAAUAAAGGGAAUUGUGUACAAGUGCAAUGGGACUUUAUCUAGCUGGGUUAUAUUUGAAAGGGUAUGUUAUGCUGUGAGGAAAAUAUGUUUUUCAGAGACAUUUAUAUUGUAUGCAGUGAGUUGGUGAGGAAAGGGGCAGCCAGGCGUGGGGUGAUUGUGACUUUGACCCCCAUUCCUUGUCAGAGUUCAAACGACAACCCAAUGCUGUUGAAUGGGUUGGAAACAUAGGCUACAUCCUAAAUGGCAGCCUAGUCCCUAUAUAGUGCACUACUUUAGAGCAGAGCCCUAUGGCAUCCUAUUCCUUAUAUAUAGUGCACUACUUUAGACAGAGCCCUUUGGCACCCUAUUCCCUAUAUAGUGCACUACUUUAGACCAGCGCUCUAUGGCACCCUAUUCCCUAUAUAGUGCACUACUUUAGACCAGAGCCCUAUAGCACCCUAUUCCCUAUAUAGUGCACUACUUUGGACCAGGACCCAAGUAUAGAGUGUCAUUUGGUAUGCAACUACACACAGCCCUAAUCUGAAGUAUACAAAACCAAUUAGGCUUUAUAUAGAUGGGUUCCACUGGGAUAAUGUUGUGUAUGGUUACAGCGGGUAAUGUUGUGUAUGGUUACAAGGGGUAAUGUUGUGUAUGGUUACAGGGGGUAAUGCUGUGUAUGGUUACAGUGGGUAAUGUUGUGUAUGGUUACAGGGGGUAAUGUUGUGUAUGGUUACAAGGGGUAAUGUUGUAUGGUUACAGGGGGUAAUGUCGUGUAUUGUUACAGGGGGUAAUGCUGUGUAUGGUUACAGUGGGUAAUGUAGUGUAUGGUUACAGGGGGUAAUGUUGUGUAUGGUUACAAGGGGUAAUGUUGUAUGGUUACAGGGGGUAAUGUCGUGUAUUGUUACAGGGGGUAAUGCUGUGUAUGGUCACAGCGGGUAAUGUAGUGUAUGGUUACAGGGAGUAAUGUUGUGUAUGAUUACAAGGGGUAAUGUUGUGUAUGGUUACAGGGAGUAAUGCUGUGUAUGGUCACAGCGGGUAAUGUAGUGUAUGGUUACAGCGGGUAAUGUAGUGUAAGGUUAUCAGGGAUACUGUUGUGUAUGGUUAAAGGGGGUAAGGACGUGUAUGGUUACAGGGAGUAAUGUUGUAUGGCUACAGGGGGUAAUGUUGUAUGGUUACAGUGGGUAAUGUUGUAUGGUUACAGGGGGUAAUGUUGUAUGGUUACAAGGGGUAAUGUUGUAAAGGAAACAUAGUACUACCAUGAGUUGGUGGGGAGGCCAUGGUGGUUAUUGCGUGAGUUACUUUGACCCCCGUCCCUUUAAGAGAUCAAACAACGACAUGAGAUAAUUCAUCUCCUAGUCCAAUUCAGUGGGAGUUCCAACUUUACUCUAUAUCAGUUUCUGUUCUGUCCCUAGUUCUCUUUCUGUCGUAGAAAGACGUACUUGUUGUUGCAGUCUUUUAUGGGCGAUGCCACCACCCUUUCUUUUUUAGGACCGUAUGUUUUUAAUGUUGUAAUUAUGAAACGAUAAAGACAAAACAUGUUAUGUCAAAAUGUAGUAUACUUAUAAAAAAAUGUUUAACUAAAAUGUAAUCUAUGUAAUCCCCAAAGGGCCAUAAAUAUUAACUAGUGAUGCUACAUAUUCACAGAAAGGUUCAAAUCUCACCUUUCUGGUAAAAAAAUAGUUGUAAAUUGCUGAGGUGUAGUCACUUUAAGACACAAGCUCAAGUAUACAGUACAAAUAUGAUACAUAUUUUAUAUUACGUAAUUCCUUUUCAACAAAACUGUAUGAAUAAGUCUUGAAAUGACUUAUAUGCUUUCUAAAUAUAUUAUAAUCAAAUUAUAAAACCUCUAAGUAUAAGAUAGUACCUUCCUUAUAACUGUAAAAUACAUAUUUGUAUGUUUAGUGUUAGAGAAAAUGUGCACAUUUUCUAAAAGUAUUUUCUUUUGUUUAAAACAAGCUCUAGCUUGGCCUUCCUGAACUCGUUAGUAACUCGCCUUUCAUCUCACAUUCAUAUGACAAAUCUGUGAAAAAACAACGUUGUUUUUUUUGUUGUUUAAAAUCUAUGAAUUAUUUUAGAUGAAUGGCUGUAAAUCAAUCUCUGAUGAAACCACUCUCUACUGCUGUGCUACGAUGUCAGGAUUUCAGUCAUGUGUUUUGUCAGUUGCUGUGACGUAAGGUUCAGCCAGGAGGUGAUGGACAGUCGGAAGAGUGAAUGAAGGACAUCCCAGUGUCAAGUGGUUUCAGAUUUCACAUCCUACAUUGCACAGGCUCAGAAAAUAUACUACUGUGUCCGUGGGAACAAGGACUGUCGUUCACAGCAAGCCAUUUCCAUAUACGUUGUCUACAUAUCGAUUUAUAAGUGAAAAUGUUGGUUGGAACCGGUACCAGAACAACACAGGUCCCCCAAACAGGGGACUUUACAUCAGUAUAGGCCAUAGGUUUACAUUACAGUGUUGUUUUAUUUAAUCCAGAUGAAAAUAAAGUUGUACCUAAAAUACGUU